ACUCUUCAAAUAACACACUUCUCGGACUCUUGAACUGAGAUAGAACCACGACAUUACCCACGUUCUAAGCGGUUUUAGAGAUAAUAUGCAUGCUUCAGAGAACUCAUUAGGCCGGGAUAACCGGUCAUCAGUUUGCAUAAAACCGCUCAGAUUUCUGAAUUCUUACUCAAAGUUCAGGAAUUUUUCUUUCCGUUUCUUUCAUAUACAGAAGAUGGCUCACAUGUUCAGACUCUGCGCUCUCAAGCUUGAAAAUGUCUGGGAAUUAAGAAUUCAAGUUUGAAAAUAGGGGCUUCAGAUUCUCUGCCACAAGUCUUGGUAACAAACCUGAUGUCUAGUGUAAAAAUAGUGAAUAAGAAAGCAGUUGCAGGAUCAUGCAAUGGUCUAUGCUGAAAGUUCAAAGACAGUAGAUGAAGAGCUCAUCGGUUGGUGCCAAGAGGAAAAUAUGAAUAUUCUUCGGAGUACAUUUCUUCUAUCAGAGGGAAGAGCAAGGGCUAUGUGGUUGCUGAGGAGUCAGUUGGAAGACAAGUUCCAAUAGCCUUUUUGGAGCAUGUUAAGGAUGAUUUUGGGUCAAAACACAGGGAUGGGAAGACCGCGACAGCUCCUCCAAAUAGCCUGAACAAGAAAUUCGGGGAAUUUAAUACUCCCUCCGUUUCAAUUUAUGUGAACCCAUUUGACUGGGCACGGAAUUUAAGAAAGUAGGGAAGACUUUUAAACUUGUCGUGUAAAAUGAGUCACAUAUAUUUUGUGUGACUAUAAAUCAUUGCAUAAAGGUAAAUUGUUUCCAAAUAUAGAAAGAGAUCAUUUUUUUUACACAGCCUAAUAAGGAAAUGGGUUCACAUAAAUUGAAACAAAGGGAGUAUUAAAUUCUUACUUUAGUGGCAUGUGAAGGAAGAACUUUCUGUUGAGCCAUCUAAUUGCAGUACUCUCUUAAGUGCAGCCCCAAGUUGAAGGAGCAUAUGCAGUAUUGUGCUGAACAUCCUGAGGAAAAUAGCAAACUUGCCAGGGUGAAAAUCCCAGGUUUCAGAAGUUAAGGUGUUACGAUGGAAAACAUUGACAAGGUAAAAUGUCUCUAAUAAUAGCUUAUCUUUGUAUAUGGUAGAUGGUUUAACAGUUUACAUGAAAGGUUGACAUUCUCUUCUCUUUCUGUGUAAUAAUGACAUGAACUAGUACAAGACAAAACCAUCCAUGUUGGAGCUUAAGACUCAUUUGGAUCUUGGAAAGAUUCCUUAUAUUAGAGAGAUAUAAAGGAAAAUAGUUAUAAUACGAUUAAGAACCAUAAUAUCUUUUAACUAGCAGCUUUCUGAAUGUAUACUAUUCUAAAGCUGUGACUGCUCACCAGACUAGAGGCUAAACCUUUUAGAGUAGUUGAAGCAUGUAUCCUUUGUUGUUUUUGUUUAAAUUGUGUAACUAGACGAAACAAGAUGGUAAAGGUUAUGUUUAAGGGGCGAUAAAAUGGACUUUUGUUAUGAAUAAAUGAAGAGGGUAACUGUCCUAUGUUAUCCUCUGAUCUUGAUUUUGGAAUUGUCAUUUUUGUUUACUUAUAAUAGUGACAACUCAAAUAACAAUGCAUAAUAUAAUGAGAUUCUAAGAUGUGCGCUCUUGAUGCUAUGGUUGGUUCAUCUACGCUUGAGGUAUUAAAUUCUUUGGCUUUUUGUCUUAGUAAUUUUCUAGGACACAUAUUUGAAUAAAACACCUACUCAGCGGCAAUAGAGAUAGUCUUGAUAGAUUUUAGAGAUAUGCAUCUUUCCAUGUAUAGUAUAAGACACAGUUGUCGGAAAAUAAGCGGGUUGUCCAGGAUUAGAUUGCCAAGACAGUGGAGACAACACGACAAGAAGUACAUUUGGUGAAGUAGUAGUAAUUUGCGGAAGCAAUGGGUGAUGAGCCCCAAAGGCUAUAACUUGAUGGCAACGGAUUGCAGGGCAGAUUCAUAUGGAAAGUUAUAACAGCAAAUAUUGACAGUGCUCUAUUAGAAGUGAGUUAAUAAUACUCUUUUGAAAAGUAGAUGCCGCUUUUGUAGCAACGGCCAACGGAGGAUCAAGAAAGCAAGAAAUGAUUAGUUUUCUCUUCUGGACUUUUCUUGCGCACUUACUCUACAUGAAAUUGUAAUUUGCUGGACAUAUUCAUGUUCUGUUUUCAUUAACUGGGAUUGCGGUUUUUCUGUCUUUGACAAUUUUUAGGAAGUUCUCUUGAAAGCAAAUCCUAAAGUUGACAAGAAAGUUAAGCUCAUUUACUUUGGGAAUUAUCUUUCCCUCCUUCCUUUAGAAACGAUACUAGCCUUUACUUGAAUUGAAAGAUGGAGAUUCGUUCAAAUCUCAAUUUAUGGAUACAUAUCACAAUUUAUGGAUACAUAUCAGUAUCUCUAGCUAUAGACUAAUAUACGUUCCAGUGGUUUUGUUUUCCUGGUCAUUCAUCACUUGGCAAUUGUUUAGUGCAAUUAUAAUUUUUGUAAUUCACUGUUAUUUGUAUUCCAUUUAGUACGAACCAAAUGUUAAUUCGAUAUAUUCAUCUCUGUUUGAAAAGGUUAUAGUACUUUUAGGUCCAGUAAAAUUUUACAACAGCCUAUUACAAUGGAGUGAGUAGUCUUUUAGGUUUACUUCUUUCUUUCAAUAAACUCUUAACUCUUCAGUUGUUGUAUUUGUAUUAUGUUUUUGUUCUAUUUAUUUGUAUCUCGCUAAGAAUUUGUGCGCUUCAAUUGUCAAGACAAGAUACUAAUGUUUCUUCGAAAGCUUGCAUUUUUUUUUUGUUCAGCCAAAUUUCGCAAUUUUCUACAUAUUACAUCGAGUGAGUAUUCUUUUAUUAGAUUUAUCGUAUUUCUUAUUUAUGGUAUUGAAGCUCAAUUUUGUAUUUAUAUUAGUGCUAAAUUUAUGUUUUCGUGGCAUGGUAACAAAAGGUGCAGCAACAGCUAUGAUCCUUAUAGGUACUUAGUGCGUGGAGAUGACAACAAUUUUCUAGAGAAUACAGCAAAGCUUUUGUGAAAAUUGACUCAUCAGAAGUUUUCCCAGUUAAACUAUUGGUUUGGUAUUUUCUGACCAAGUGUGUGAAAGGUGUUAAGCAGGUAAAAGGGUUUCACUGAUAGUAGAGUUGUAUACUACAAUAACUUUGCUAGACCAAGGAAGAGGAAGAUUAAGGAGGGAAAGAGGUUAUCUAGAAAGUUUUAACUCUAUUUAACAGCCAAAUUGAUAUUUUAACCUACAUUGCCAAAUGCUUGGCGAAAAAUCUCAGGGCUGACUUUCUUCUUCUUAAUAAUUUAUAGAAGAUAUGUCGUUCUACCGUACUUGUGAUCUAUUUUUGCAGGAUAGACAUUUCAUGGAGCAUCAAAGCAUAGAGCCACUGCAAUGAUUGUUCAUUUAUAUUUGUUUAUAUCUUUCAUUUCCUAUUGGUUCAACCAAAUUUUGAGGAGCAUCGUGACAAUUGAUUGACUUGGCAGGUCUCACCUAGGUGUAAAAUCUUUACUGCAGAUAUCCGCAGAGGCCAUAAUAAAGGUUAUGUUGCUAUAAUUGCUACAAGAGAUGGUGGAAUCAUCACGUAUUUGCAAUACAUUUUUCUGAUUUCUAGAAUUGCUUCAGCUUUAUUUGAGUAAACUAGUUGCAUGAGGCUCGGGCUCUAGUUUACGAGAACUCAUGAUGAAAACAUAGUAAAUUCAAUUAUAAAAAUAUAAUUUAUAUCACAUUUUU